rnacentral:lncRNA from 1 species
CUACACUACCAUCGGGCUACGAAUCGGGAACUGGUUAGAGCAGCAGGUAAAAAUAGUAAAACACUCCUCUCGCGAGAAGUAUCCCGCCGGCGGCCGGAGCCGAGGACGCUGGCGGCGCCACUCCCGGCCACCACCGGCAGGGGAAACCGUCGGCGGGGCCCGCGGGACUCCCGGGGGAUCCAUUUUUGCCCUGAGCACGGGAGAAGGAGCACCCUUGGCUGCCUUGAACUGCAGCGGCGUUCCUGCUACGCUGCAGUUCGCCUGGGAGCACGGGACAGAGAGCUUGACGGGCCUCCCUGCUAGCGCUGCCGCGCUGCACUACCGACGACGAGGGGGGGGGGGUCCCUCUGGUCACGCGCUACCGUCGAGGGAAGGAGGAAGCCCCUGUUACCACCCCUACCU